rnacentral:lncRNA from 1 species
UGAAUGGUACCUGCAAAAAUUAUGCCACAAGCAAGGCUGAGUAUAUUAAUACUCAGCUAGACUUAACCGGUGUGAGGAGUCUACUCCUCUACCUCUAGACUAUGCAGCUGUUUGGCUGAGGGGUUUGGUUUGCCAAAAGCACUAGCUGUUUCUAAAAUCAGUUUUUUUUGCUUUUCAAAUUCUAUCAUCAUUAACUUAGCUAGGUUUGCUCCUUCUAAGCAUACAUGGUAACAAUCAUUUACUUCAAUCAACAAGUUAUCUCAUGUAACCACAUUUCACUUCUUACUCAAUGUAGUACAAGGGGUCAAGCAGUCUCAUUAGCUGCGAGAAGCAGACGAUUCGAAUCGAGUUUUAACCUUGCAAGGUAAAUCUAAACACACGGCAUGUCGGGGUACUCCGACCCCACACAUGACAACUGUCCCCAUCGAUUCCCCGUUCGCGUCCAGGCCUCACCGCCUUGGCAUACAAUGCUCCACUGACCCCGGCUGCCGCCGUGCAGUGACCGCACUUGUACCCACCAUAGCUAGCAUGGGAGACCCAGUCUCAGGUCGCAUGAGGGAUAAAGUCCACGCCCGGCUUCAAUCAGGUACUAGGUUUACCGGUUACCAUUUUUCCCGGCAUGUGCUUAGUACGUUCAAAAGCUUGACUCAGGUAUCCACACAUUAAUCCUUAAUUCCUUUUUCCCGUCUCAUGGACAAGGCAUCCUCCCUGGAUCCAAGUCCAUAGACUAACAUAUAUCCCGUUAUCAAGAUGAAUACAAUCAAUUCCUGACCUCGCGCGAGUGCUAGAAAAAUCACUCGACUUCUACCGAGAUCCUGAUUAGCAAGCAGCUACUCGACCUAGCAUACUAGUAUUCAUCUCAAAAAGGAAUCCUAAGUUCAUGCAACUAGAGGUUUCAAGCAACUCAUACACUUAAGUGCACAUUGCAAUCCUACAAGCAUUAAGUGUAGUAAAGUAGCAUAUAAUAAUAUGGUUAUGCAUAAAACCGGGGCUUGCCUUCAAUUGCUGGGGCUGCGGGGAGAUCCUCAAUAGCAGCCUCUGGUGGUUUAUCUUACUAUGGACUUAGCUAAUUUUUGGUUGCCCAUUAUCACAUGAUUAGGGGUUGUUCAUGAAUUAUUUGGAAAAUGCCUUAUUAUCACUUUAUAUUUAUUUUCCUUACUUAAAAAGUUGGGCUGAGGUGUUCUUUUUUUUGUAGUGGGGCUCUGGUGGUUGUAAGUCCACUGGAUUUUUAUUACUCAUUUUGGUUAUAGUUUUGCAUCUCUAAUAAUUGAUUUUCAGUCCGAAUAAGGCUAAAUAAAACAUUUUAAUUUAAAACUGGUCUGAACUAAUGGUCUCUGUAUUUUUCCUAGGUUCUCUGUUACAUAAGUAAACUAGGAAAAAUAAUUUUACUCACUGUUCACCAAUUUCUAAUGCCUUUCUGGUUUUUUCUAAGUUUUGGGCAAAAUAGCUUUAAAUGAAUAUCUACAUCAUAUUUUCUAAUGCUGGGGUUCCUACUAUUUUUAAACAGUGUCUAAAUGAGGUUUGAACAUCUACAAAUUUUCUUAAGUUCAGCACAAAAGAAAAACUAAUUUUCCUUUAUUAAAUUAGGUUUGCUAAGUUUCUGUUUUUAAAUUUUAAACUCUAAAAUUUAGAACAGAAAGCAUAGGGUUUAUCAUUUUUAAAUGAUAGUUCAUAAUAUUCAGGAGCUAGCAAAAUUAGUUUGACAACUUUUUAUUAAAUAUUCAUCAAGUUAUGGGUUUUCUAAGUUCUCUGGUCAUUUUAAAAGAUUAACAGAAUUGGUUAAUUGGAAAUCCACUUUGCACUGGGGUCCCUGGCGGGUUUUUAAGUUUUCUUCGUGGAUCAGUCCUUAGGCUACUAUUCACAUGAGUCACUGACGUUACAGAAAACCCCUCGGGUUCUACAAAUCCUAACCCGAGGUCCUUCUUCUAACUUAAACAGUAACCGCGGCGGAAGAAAGGGCGGAGGGGCUUACCGGCGGCGAGAUGGCUCCGGUGAAGUGGUCGAGGACGUAGGGGAGGUCUCGGGGAUCACAACGGUGUGCGGGUCGCCGUCGGAGAUGGCCAGAGUCGGUCGGUCCACGCGCGCAGGCGAGGAUGCUCGUCGGCGGAGAGGAGUCCGGCCUGGUCGCGGCGAGAUAGAGCAAUUGGAUGGGUCAGAGAGGUUCACGGGGUGCCAGAGAAGAUAUGGGUGCAAGGAAUUGGUCGGAGACUCACCGGUUAGCUCGGUCCACGCGCGGCGGCGGAAGACCGAAGUCCGGUGAGGUCGAUCUCGGGCCUCCGGUGAAGUCCGGCCUGGUCCGAGGGCUUGGCGAGCUUCACGGGCUACUAGUGGAGCUAGCCAAAGCACUGGCUCGACUCGAGGGUGGCUGGAGUGGGCUGGCCACGGUGGCCGAAGCUCUAGCGGCAAUGGCGGGCGGAAUUGAGCUCGCCGGAGCUAAGGGAAGGUGGCCGACCGGUGCUAGUGAGUGCGGGGCGAAGUGGGGCGCGCCUGGGAAGGCUUUAUAGGCACGGCGCGGUGCACGGGCGGUCGUGGACUGGCGAGCGCGCGCGGGCGUCCACUGGGAAGCGCGGUGCGCGAACGGGCGUGAACCGGGGGUGUCAGCCACGGUCGAACACGUGUUCCCGUUGCCUCUGCCCAUGUUCAAGCGCUGGUUGGGUGCAAAUCUUCGCGAAUUUGGGCAAGAUCGCUGUGAAGGAUUUGUUCACCUGACCAUGCUUUGUCUUUUGUGUAUGGACGUCGCGCGGUUUUAGGCUAGGGACAGGGAGUUGUAGCGUCACCAAGGUGCCAGUGUCAGAAUGCCUGGUCCCGAGGUCAAACUGCGCCAAAACCGUGUCAAAUGAAUUUGGUUUGAGUUCAAACUUUUCCAGGACGUGUUCAAGGAAAUUUGGUACAACUUUGAUAUUUGGAUCUCCUAGUUUUGAGUUUCGAAAAACAGAGAACGCAGAUGAUCUUUGGGAAGAGGUCUGAAAUUCAGAAAUUCAGGAAUCUGAAUUUCUCCAAGGGUUCAUAGCUCAAGGGCAGAUUUGGGGAUUUAUUUGAGUUAUUUUGGCUAAGCUUUCUCAACCUUUCUUGUUGCUUAUUAAAUAUACUUUAAUUUUUAUAAUUGUCUCAAGUCAUAAUUUUAAAUUUUUCAUACCCUUUUCCUUAUUUUCUUGAAUUUUUGCUCAUGGGGUUUACUUAGAGUUUUUAUUAGGGUUACAUAUUCUUACCUUUUUAAAAGUCUCAAUUGUUUUGAUCAUGAUACUUUUAAGAAUAUGCUUGGUGAAUUCCUUCUUACUUAAGUUAAUUUGAUGCUCAUGCUUACUUUGGUUCACAUAAAAUAAUGGUUCUUGGUUUGGCAUUUGAGAUAAACCCUAGGUGACACUAGGGUGUCACAGCGUGGAGCAUUCGAUUCCCCGGCUGAGGCGAGGACUGGGGAGUCCCGCCGGCGAAGGGUGGUGGUGAAGCAUAAUGUUGGUGGUACGUCGUGAAGUAAUAGGCGUCGUCGGAUGGGGAUGGAACGAACCCGCCUUCGGCUAGAUCGGGAUGGCCAGCUAGAUUUGUUGUCUUCGUCGUCUGGGACAUGUAUUGGGGAGGGGGAUCUGCGGAGUCUAUUUGAGGGUGAGGAGUUGAGAAUGAUGUUGUUUAAUUUUCGUGAGGCAGGCCUUAUCCCGAAGGCUGAGCCAAUGUAGCGUUUAUGCUGCCCUCGCUCUUGUAUUGCGGUAGUGAGUGAAAACGUUGCCCUCCCCCGGCUCGCGAUAAAGAGGAAGGGCAACAAGAUGCGGUAGGUAUUUAUUUGUGCAAUGUGGCCGGUGGCCUUUUGCUGUGUGUAUGUAAACUAUGAUAUUGUUUGUUGUGAAUUGAGAUGGGGACUUCGCUUGCUGCGGCAAUGUGAGGGUGCCGAAGACACGUGUUUGGUUGUAUUCGUAGGUGGUUUUGUUUGACUAUGUCAGACAACAGCGAUCGUAACGUACCCUGCACCAUUAGGGUGAUGCUUGGCCUUCGGCGCACGUGUAGUGUGUAUCCGGCUGCACCCUUGGGUGGCUUUUGCGCAGAUGCCUGUUAGUGAAGGCUUCGUAUCAUGCACUUGUUGUGCUUGUCCGGCUGCACGCUUAGGCGACUUUUGCACAGAUGUCUAUUAGUAAAGACUUCGUGUUGCGCACUUGUUGUGCUUGUCCGGCUGCACCCUUAGGUGACUUUUGCACGGAUGUCUUUUAGUAAAGACUUCGUGUUGCACACUUGUUGUGCUUGUUCGGCUGCACCCUUAGGCGACUUUUGUACGGAUGUCUUUUAGUAAAGACUUCGUGUUGCGCACUUGUUGUGCUUGUCCGGCGCACCCUUGGGCGAAUUUUGCACGGAUUUGUCGCACGCGAGGGUAGUCUGUGCUACCUGUCACAGUGACCUCGUAUAUGUCGAAUGUCAAAGGCCAUCGUAGCGGUCUUUUUUGACACUUUUGGUAAUGGCGCAUGGAGUUUUUUGUGGGGGUUUUUCGUUGGUAUAUUACAUGGCGUCGCCUCGUUAAAAACCUCACCCUCGGGAGGAAAAGAGUGCGAACCUAAAUAACAUAGUUUGGAGAAUUACAAAUGCGCUUAAAUAAAAAUUUUGCGAAGACUAUCGAUGUUCCAUGAGAGUUCUAGGUCUUCGUCGGAUGAUGCUGCUAGCCUAUAAGCACUGGGGGACUCCUUUGUCUUGAUUAUGUAUGGCCCCUCCCACUUCGGCUCGAGCUUGCCUGGGACUCUGUUCGGGUGGUCCUUACGAGUACGAGGUCCCCUUCUCUGAAUUCUCUUGGGACGACUGUGUUGUCACCCAUGCUUUGGUCUAGACCUGGUACUUGUUGAGGGCCUGCAGGGCGAGAACGUGGUCUCCGUCGAUGAGAUCCUUGGAGGUUGGUUUGUCGACUUCGGGGAUGGCUAGCUUGUUUGUUCGGGGGGACCUGUGCUUUAAUUCUUGCGGCGUCAUUACUUUGCAUCCAUACAUCAAGCGGAAGGGUGUGAACCCGGUUGCUUGGCACUCUGUCGUAUUCAGGGCCCAUAAGACUUCGAGUAAUUGGUCGUCCCAUUUGCCCUUUUUGUCGUCAAGGAGCCUUUUCUUGUUGGCGCUAAAGAUCUUGCCAUUGGCGCGUUCGACGACACCGUUGGAUUGUGGGUGGUACACAGAGGCAAAGACAGGCUUGGUGCCGAUGGAACUGCAUAAUUCCUUGAAGUCUUGGCUGUCAAACUGUUUGCCGUUGUUGAUGGUGAGUUCGGAUGGGACUACGAAGCGGCAGACAAUGUUUUGCCAGAAGAAUUUUUGGGCGGUCUUCAAUGUUAUCGUGGAGACUGCUCUGGCCUCAAUCCACUUUUUGAAAUAUUCAACGGUGAUGAAGGUGAACUUGAGGUUCCCUUGAGAUGUAGGCAGUGGUCCAACGAUGUCCAGCCCCCAUCGUUGAAGUGGCCAUGUGUGUGCGAUGAGCUUGGUGAAUUGCGAAGGGUUGCCUUAGCGAGGAGAGAACUUCUGGCAUGCUACGCAUGACCUGGUGACUCGGUAGGCUGUGCAGAUUAUUGCGGGCCAGUAAAAUCCCUGACGGAUCACCUUGGCUGCGAGGGCCCUCGGUUCUAAGUGUGAACCACAGGUUCCACUAUGGACUUCAUGGAGGAUUUCUAUGACAUUAGUUUCGGUUAUGCAUUUCAGCAUGGGCUGGCUGAUUCUCUUUUUGUACAGCUAACCCUCGACUAUUGCGAAGUCCCUGCUUCUGUGCUUUAGUUGUUUGGCCUCAUUGUGGUCGGUUGAAUGGUAGUGGCCUUGCAGGUAUAGUGUUAUUGGGGCUCGCCAGUCUUCGGCCAUGAUGAGGUUGACAAUUCUGUGGCCUUCGGCGUCCUGAGUUAUUUGCAAACCUUCGGGGUUGCGAACGGCUAUCGUGCCGAUGACGUGGUAGAACACGUCGGAAGGCAGGGCCUCGCCCUUGGUUGUUGCUUUGGCCAACGUGUCGGCCUCUUCGUUCUUGUUGCGGUCGACAUGUUGUAGGGUGAAACCCUUGAACUGUUUCUCGAGGCUGCGGACGGCAGUGAGAUAUUGCAUGAGCACAUGCUUUUUUGCUGAGUACUCCUUUUCGAUCUGGCCGGCGACGACCUUGGAGUCUGUCCUGAUUAUGCACGUGGUGACACUGAGGGCUCGUAACUUGCGAAGUCCUAGGAUGACAGCUUUGUACUCUGCUAUGUUGUUAGUGCACCUAUCGAACUCUAAAGCAAAGCUGAGGCGCGUUGCGUAUCUGUAAUUGAUGCUGGUGGGUGACGUGAUAAUUGCUGCGGUGCCUGCCCCCACAUGGCACCAUGCGCCAUCGCAGUGGAUGGUCUAGACUCUUCCCGAAGACUCCUCUUGUGGUCGUACAGGUCCUGUCCAGUCGACGAUGAAGUCGGCCAGGACCUAUGAUUUGAUCGUCGUUCUGGGUUCCAUGGUGAUGUGGUACCCGGAUAAUUCAGCUGCCCAUUUGGCAAUUCUGACAGAUGCCUUAGGGUUCCUGAACAAUUCUCCCAGACCCCUGUCCAAAGUGACCCGUACUUUGAAUGCCUCAAAGUAGUGUCGGAGCUUGCGCAAAGCCAUGACAACUGUGUAUGAUAUUUUUUCGAGUUCAGUCAUGUUGCACUUAGAAGGCGUGAGGACUUCGGAGACAUAGUACACUAGGCACUGCUGACUUUUGCCCUUGCUGUCCCGCUCUUGGACUAGUGCUGCACUGACUGCACAUGGUGAAGCCGCAAUGUAGAGAAGCAGCGGUAGCGAAGGGUCGGGACUUGUGAGCGUGGCUAGGUCGGACAAGUGUUGUUUGAGCGACUCGAAGGCCGCCGCUUGCUCUGGUCCCUAAGCGAAUUCUUUUGCACCACGCAAUGUUUUGAGGAAGGGUAGACUCCGCUCUGCGGAUUUAGAGAUGAAUCUGUUCAGGGCGACCAAUCUGCCUGUCAGUCGCUGGACGUCCUUGGUGGACUACGGAGGUGCCAUGUUUAAGAUUGCCUGUAUUUUUGUUGGGUUGGCUUCAAUCCCUCGGUGCGAUACUAGGUAACCAAGUAUUUUCCCUAGCGAACUCCAAAGACACACUUCUCAGGGUUGAGCCAGAGCCGUGCAUCGCUCAUGUUGGCGAAUGUUUCUGCGAGAUCGGUCAGGUGAUCCUCUUUGUUUUUGCUAGCGACGACAUUGUUGUCCACGUAGGUGAAAAUGUUGCGGCCGACUUGGCUUUCGAGGACCCUCUUGGCGAGGCAAGAAAAGGUGGAUCCAGCAUUCUUGAGUCCCUUUGGCAUUCUUACAAAGCAGUAUGUGCCGAAGGGUGUGAUGAAGCUUGUGCUUGUCUUGUCCUUCUCUUUCAUGAAAAUCUGGUGGUACCCGGAGAAGCAAUCAAGGAGUGACAUGACUUCGCAGCCUGCUGCGCUAUCGACUAUUUUCUCGAUCUGUGGCAAGGGGAAGUUAUCCUAGGGACAAGCCUUAUUGAGGCUUGUAAAGUCUAUGCACCUGCGCCACUUGCCGCUCUUCUUUUGCACCAUGACCACGUUGGCGAGCCAUGUGGGAUAAGCGAUUGGCUCGAUGAAUUUGGCUUCUAAUAGGCGGUGCACCUCAGCCUUGGCUGCUUCAGUUUUCUCAUCGGACAUUUUUCGAAGUCGCUGCUUUUUUGGGCGCACCGAAGGGUCGAUGCCCAGGCUGUGCUCGAUGAUGGAGCGGCUGACCCCGACCAGAUCGAGGGCAGACCAAGCGAAGACAUCCUUGUUUCGGGAGAGAUAGGAAAUGAGUUUUUCCUUGUCUCGCGAGGUCAGGUCUUUGCUUAUUAUAACCAUUUGCCUGGGCAUUGCCGGGUCAAGGGGUACCGCCUUUGUUCCGUCGUUGCUUUGGAGUUGCGCUUUGACUUUUUCGUCUACGUUCGGCCGACUGCUUUCAAUGUCUUCGUGCUUUGUAGUGAGGCAGUGUAUGUUCCGCUACCCUGGAACGAAGUCAUUUUCAAUGUUGCGCGUUGUUUGCAGGUUGCCAUAGACAGUGAUCACGCCUUGCGGACCUAGGAUUUUCAUGCAGAGGUAGAGUCCGUGAAUGGCCGCCUCAAACUUGUUGAUCGAUCCCCGACCCAUUAUGGCAUUGUAUGGAUAGAUCAUGUCGACAAUGUUGAAAGUGACCUGCUCACUUCGCACAUUGGGUGCUGCACCAAAUGACAAGGGGAGCUCGAUCUUGCCGACGGGGAAGGUGCCCUUGCCACCGAAGCCAAAUAGGGGAUUGUCUGUAGGUUUGAGUAGGUUGUGGCUUAUUCCCAUGUGAUCAAAGGCGUGCAGGAAAAUAAUGUCAGCUUGACUGCCAUUGUCGACCAGCACUUUGUGUAGAUCCCAGCCUGCUACACUGCAAUUGAUCACCAAGGCGUCUGCGUGAGGAGCGCUGAGUAAGUCGAUGUCUCUGGCGUCGAAGGUGAGCGGUACAUGGGACCACUUCGUCUCCACUACUGGGCCAGUGAGGGCGACAUGGUCCAUGCUUCGGUAGUGGUCCUUUUUCUGCCGCUUCGUGUCGAAGUCCACGCUCGAUCCCCAGUGAUCAUAUGGAUGACUCCCCGAUAUGGUGGUUCGGCGAAGUCCUCCUGUUUGGGUGCUUGUGGGUGGUGGUGGUGUGGUGGAUUUUGGUGAUGUGGAGGCGGUGGUGGUAGGACCUGGACCUCUUGGUGCUGGUAAGCGUGGUUGGUUGGAUGCUGGAUUUGCUCGUUGUGGUAGGGUUGUUGUUGAUGGUAUGUGUGCGCUACUACCCUCUGGUUGUCGGUCGGUUGUGCUCUGGACAUUCUGUCCUUGGUGGCCAUGGUCUCUGGACAAUCCUUGUCGGGUGAGCACAGUCUUCACCGUGAAACAAACAGAAGAAUCUGCGUGGCUGUUGUGUCCGUCCGCGGCCUCUUCCCCUUAUGUCGUUGUCGCGGCCUUGGGGGUGGUAUUCCUGACGACGGGUGGUCUCUUCGGCUGGCUGCUGGUUGGCAAUGUUUUGCACCUGAUGAUGAUUGCGGUUGUCCCGGCCGAAGUCUGGCUGCGCUAUCUAGGUUCUGCUGGGCUGUGGAGGGUCCUUGGGCUUCCUCUGAGACUCAACCUUGCGUUGAUGGAGCUCUUCGGACCUGGCAUACUUCUCAAAUAAUCGGUAUAGCUCUUGUAGAUUCUUGGGUGGGUCCCUGAUGCAAUGACUAUACAGGACACCAGCCCGAAGACCGCUGAUGCUGUAAUGGAUUGCGAUGUGGUGGUCAACUGAUGGCAGUUGUGAUUUGAGCGUCAGGAAUUUCCUAUAUUACUCGCGAAGGGUUUCCUUCUCUUGCUGCUUGCAGAGAGAUAACUCGGCCAGGGCGUCUGUGUCAGGUCGGUACCCCUUGAAGUUGAGCAGGAACUUGUCGCGAAGCCCUUUCCAGGAAUUAAUGGACAGUGGCGGUAACCUGGUGUACCAAGUCAAGGUCGGGCCUUCGAGUGCGAUGAUGAAGGAUUUGUCCAUUGUGGCGUCGUCCCCUCCGGACGAUGUGACGGCUACCUGGUAGCUCAUGAUGUACUGAGCCGGGUCGGUACUGUCAUUGUAUUUGGGGUAGGUGUCGGCCUUGAAGUUGGCGAGCCAGGGCGAUGCUUGGAGUUGUGGAGCCAGGGGGCUUCGUUCGUCGAGGUAGUUGAUCCCCUGAAAAGCUACGACUAGUGGGAUGAAAGGGUCGCGCUGUGGUAUGAAUGGGUCUCCGGCCUGGGCAUACUGCUGGAGAGGUGCGGGCGGGCCGCGUUACAGAUUGUACUGGCCUUCGCCUUGCAUGAGCGCGAUCUCUUGUUCGAGCUCCCGAGCUCUCUGCUCCUCAUCUUGUAUCAUCUGGCGCACCUUGGCUUGCAUGGUGACUCGUUGACGCUUGGCUUCGAGGAUUUCUUUCUGCUUCUGGAGGUGGUGGUUUUUGAUGCGCAGAGCUCAUAGCUUUAGCUAGUCUUUGGCUGAGAUGUCGAUGACUUCUCCGUCCUCUAUGGUGACUUCGCCCUCUGGUGGAGCGGAGCCUGGCGGUGGUGCUUGGGGCGCGUCUUCGGAACUGUAAGUGCGUACAGUGCCGUCGGGGUGGGGUGGUCUUCGUACUGCCUUUUGCUGUUGACAGCGUCGUCUUCGAAGGACUCUUGGUGGGUGGCGUCCGCGAGGGCCUUGCCUUUCUUGUUCGCCAGAAGCGCUGCCUUCACAGCGUCGUCGAUGGAUGGGGCAGCCUUCGAAUUAGCUCGCUUGGGGGCCAUCGCGGGUUGUUUUUCGUAGCCCGAACGGUGGGCGCCAAAUGUUGGGAACCUGUCCGCCUGGGCAUGUUAAUCCAACAGGGAAAUAGAAAAUGUGCUUGUAAGGUUUAGUAUGGAAUGCCAAAAGCUUUUUUCCUCCCUGUAGCGGGCACUGUACGGGGGUAUUUAUAGGUACUCGAGUAGCCGCCUGUCCCUUCCAAAGACGUUUAUGCCCUCAAGUACCCGGUUUAUCCCUAAAAUAUUCCCACGAGGGGAGGUUACAGGCAGUCAUUACGGUUAACCCUAUUACAGACAUGACCAUUAUCGCGCUUGUCCUCGCAGGGCCCAUUACCAUGGAUCGAAUCCCACAUGGGCCUCCCAGUGCAGUGACGACGUGGGAGACCCGCAGACUUCAAUAAAGCCUUCGUCUUGCAACCCGAGGGCGAAGCGGACCGUACAGGUCUCCGUCUGGUCGGCGCCUUCGGCUUGUUCUGACGCGUUCUGUGGAUGUGGCCUUCAUCUGCGUGAUGGGAAGGCAAAGUCGUAGAGCGAAUGGUAGCGUGUUCGCCUUCGCCCCAACAGAGACGAGGGAGGAGCUCGGCUGGGCGCUCGUCCAUGGGAGACUAGAAGGAGGGAGUGUGGCCAUGGAGGAGCAGAGGCCAAGGGAGUAGAGAGGGAGUGCUGGCGAUCUGGGAGACCGCGGCACGCGAGGAACAGGAAGAUGAGCGUCGCCUAGAAAAAUAUCAAGGCCCGCGGUGGCUGAAGGAUAAGGAUCGGCUGGAUAUUUUCUCCUUUGUUAUUUCCUUUUUUACACACUAAUCCAUAUAUAUAUUUAUGCUCUCAGAUUUGAAUCUAGUACCAGGGUAUAAAUGAGGUUUAAUUUGGUCAAACCAAAUUGACAUUGCCAACUACAUAGGAGAUUUCUCUUGAUAUAACUGAGACCCGAUAAAUUCAUUUGCUACCUGAAUGCUCAGAGUAGAGCAAGAAAUAACGGACCAGACCAUGUCAUUAUCUUCGAACACGAUUUCUCAGAUAACACACGGGGUCAAGAUUAUUUUGAACUGAAAACUUUAUUCGUUGAAUUCUAAAUGAAUUUGUUUGAGGAAAAAUUUACAAUGCUGAGUUUUAGCCAGAUGUUGACGGAUCAAACCAAACGAUAUUGGAUUCGUUGUUUCAGAAGAUUACUAAAGUAUGAAUUUUAUAAAAAUAAAUUAGUGACAAUUUAGACAGAUGGAGACAGACACGAUAUCAAAAUCGUGAUAUUCGAAGAUGAUUAAAAUUUAGUGCCCAUGUUAUUCACCGCUAUCACGUGUUAAAGUCCGCACUCGUGGUCGAGCAGACGAUAAACACCUCGGGUGUUACAAUAUAAGUACACAGUCAUGUCAUUCGGAUUGACAAAUGCACCAACUUUCUUUAUGAACUUGAUGAAUAGUGUGUUCAUGGACUACCUCGACAAGUUCGUAGUGGUGUUCAUCGAUGAUAUUCUCAUAUACUCUCAGAAUGAGGAAGAACACGAGGAGCAUUUGAAGAUGGUAUUGCAACGGUACGGAAGCAUCAGCUGUAUGCCAAGCUGAGCAAAUGCGAGUUCUGGAUCGGUGAAGUCCUAUUCUUGGGUCAUAUCAUAAACCGAGACGGAUUAGCUAUGGAUCCGAAGAAGGUAGCAUAUAUCCUGGACUGGAAAGCACCGAGAGAUGUCCAAGGAAUCAAUAGUUUCAUUGGAAUGGUCGGAUACUAUCAGUGUUUCAUUGAAGGUUUCUCUAAGAUUGCUAGACCAAUGACAGCCCUGCUAGCGAAGAAGGUUGUAUUCAAGUGGACCCCAGAGUGGCAAGGGUCCUUUGAAACAUUGAACAAGAAGUUGACUACAACACUUGUGUUGAUUCUACCAUAUGUUCAUAAGCCAUUCUCAGUGUAUUGUGAUGCUUCAUACAUUGGUCUGGGAUGUGUGUUAAUGCAAGAAGGGAGAGUAGUGGUGUACUCGUCCCGAUAGAUGAAGAUUCAUGAGAGGAAUUACCCCACACAUGACCUAGAGUUAGCAGUAGUGGUUCAUGCACUGAAGACCUGAAGGCAUUAUCUAUAUGGGCAGAACUGUGAUAUUUAUACAGACCACAAGAGUCUCAAAUAUAUAUUCACUCAAUCAGAGUUAAACAUGAGGCAGCGAAGAUGGCUGGAGUUGAUCAAGGACUAUGAGCUAGAGAUACAUUAUCACCCAGGCAAAGCUAAUGUGGUUGCAGAUGCUUUGAGCAGGAAAAGCCAAGUCAACAUGAUGGUCGCUCCUCCGAAGCCAUAUGAACUAGCAAAGGAAUUCGAUAGGCUGAAUCUCGGAUUUCUAAACAACACCCAAGGAGUGACAGUUGAGCUAGAGCCCACUCUAGAGCAAGAGAUCAAGGAUGGGCAGAAAGAUGAUGAGAAGAUCAAUGAAAUUCGGCAGCUGAUCUUAGAUGGGAAAGGCAAGGAUUUCUGGGAAGACGUGGAAGGCAUGGUAUGGUUCAAAGAUAGGUUGUGUGUUCCUGACAUUAAAUUGAUUCGAGAGCUAAUUCUUAGGGAAGCUCAUGAGACAGCUUAUUCCAUACACCCUAGCAGCGAUAAGAUGUACCAAGGCUUGAAGAAAAGAUUCUCGUGGUACGGUAUAAAAAUGGAGAUCGCAGAGUAUGUUGCCAUAUGUGACAGUUGUCAGAGAAUUAAGGCAGAGCAUCAGAGGCCCGCAGGUUUGUUGCAGCCAUUGCAGAUUCCUAAGUGAAAAUGGGAUGAGAUUGAGAUGGACCUUAUAGUCGGUUUGCCUCGCACUCGAGCCGGUUAUGACUCCAUCUGGGUAGUAGUGGACCUCUUGACAAAGGCCAUUUAAUACCAGUUAAGACCAUGUCACACCCAGAUUUAAGGGGUGAAGCCGGGUGCGUCUCAUAUGUGCGCCAAAGAAGAACAGCACACAUAACAACCAAGUGUAUAGAGAUAAAUGUCACAAACAUAAUUACAUUGCGGAAGUGUCUUACAAAAAUAAAUGAUAACAAUAAAGCAAACUAAUAAUUAUUUCUUGGCACCAUAAAGCUAAUUGGGAGACGCUACCUAGACAAGCUCGUACUCCUCGUAGUAGACAUCCUCCAGGGCUACCUGCUCUUCACCUAUGGGGGGUUUAUAUAUCGCAAGGAUGAGCUCACAAAAGAUCAUAGCUCAACAAGUUGUGGAGAAUAAUGUGCAUGAACGUACCAAAGGUGGGAGCUCAUGUGAAGUGUAAGGCUGAUCAACAAAUAAUAGAUAAAGCUGAGCAUUGCUUUUAUUAAGUUGGUCAAAUUUUAUUAGCAGUUACUAAAUGUAAGUAUAUACCAAACCAGAGUAAUAAUAAAUCAAAAUUAAUAAUAAAUCCACAAUGCGAUGCAUAUGACAAAUUGAGUUUAAUUCCAUAAGUUAAUCAUGCGAGAGUCAUAAGCUGCUCAUGACCGCGAGCAUGUCUAGUAUGCCAGUUUUACACUCUGCAGAGGUUGUACCCUUUACCCACAAGUUAUGCUACCCAGUUGCCAAGGGGUCUAGAAGUCCCAUUCAUCUCUACCGAGGAGACGAGUCAGGGUAACACUACAAGGCCUUUCCAAAGUUCCACUAGUUCGAGAAAAUCUGAUACAGAUUUAGGGCGAAGGAAGCAUAGGAAUCCCUCAUCUGGAAAGCUAAACAGACAGUACGACCCAAGAACCUCCCUAUACUCUGCAGUGACGCCUCCUCACUUGCCCCUUUCAGGUAAGGUAGUCUCUCUCUAGCUUUCCUAAUUACUUUGCCAAGGGCGUCCUAUUCCACCCUUGUGGUGGCACUGUAUUCUCAAGUUAAGCUCCAUGUUCCAAUUAACACAAUAGUCUUAUGAUGAACAAAAUAGAACAACAAUAAUAAAGCAUGAUCAUGAAUGAUAAUUAUCUUAAUACCCAAAACCACAUAUAGCAAUAGCAGAGACUAGCCAAAAAGUUUAGUGGUAAACAAGGUAUAAAGAUGACCAAACUAGGGUGACCUAUUGGGUCCCAUUAAAAUUAGGCCUAAGCAUGCCAAAGUGAUUACAGAGAACAAUAUUGGGUAAAUAAAAGUGGUUAAGGGCACAACUUUCCUUCAACGAGCUCCUGCUCGUAUUUUCCACCUGCUGAGUACCGGAUCCUCGGUGGCUUGCUCGUCUACUCACAACAAUACAAACAAAUAUGGUACAGGAGAAAUUAACAUUACACCAAACAUCAUAACAGAAUGUAUGAUAAUAUUCUACGCAUCAUAAGUAGACCACUGGUUCAAGAAACACUAAAUUCGGAGUUAUAAUUAACAAGUUAUGAUUUUCUAAAGGUUUUAGGUGUUAGAUGUAAAACAAUUCAAGUGUAUAAUUCUAACCUAUAUUUCAUAACAAGAUAAAGUUAUCAUGUGAUAAACAAUAUUAUUAUGAAUUUAAUGCAACUGGAAUGGGUCAAAAAGGAGUUAAAAUGGAUUAAAUAUGAAUAAAACAAGUUUAUGAAAUUAUUUCUAUACAAAAAACAUUUUCUAAUUAAUUUUUGAAUUUCUCCAAUGGCUCCGGACUGCGUACACAAAUACCAGAGAUUCCAGGGGUUGUUUUGUGAAGACCCGGGUAUAACUGCAAUUAGUUUACACUAGGAGAGGACUACAGGUUCAUUUGGCAGUUUUACGAGGGCUUUUCGAAUAUAUACUCGGCUGAAAGGUUAUCUGCAAUCCCAGAUCGUUGGAUCUUCCCUCGACCGCCCGGAUUAGAUCUGGUACCCAACCGAAUCCAUACCCAGAUUUAGACGCUGGUGGAUAAAUCAGCAGAUAAGAUUUAAUUACUCGUGAUCCGAUCGCAACCCUCGGAUCCCAACCUAACGCACAGGGUUCAACAUACCCACCCGAACGCACAAGGCAGACGGAUCCAAAAUCGACGGUCCUAGAUUGACCUUGGCAGCUGAUGCCUGGUGAUCUAAUCGUGGUCAUUCGACAACGAAUCGAUGACCACCACGAGUCUCCCUCCCCAAGUCCGACUGAGGUGGUGGCGCGUCGGGUAUCCUCGGCGAUGGCGGCGGCAAAGCACCGCCCCGUCCCAAUCUCGCAGCAUCGGGCAUAAACGGCUAUGGCUAAACGCACGGGGAAUCAAAGUAAUUCGAUUGGGAGAAGCCUUACCGACCGAUUAUGUCGCGGGUGAGGUCAGACACGCGGCGAGGCGGACAGCCGCAGAACGUGAACUCCGGCGAGAGAUUCUAUGGCGCUGUGUCACGAUUCGCCCCAGGAAAGUUGUCGACAACCUUCCCCACGACCGGGCGAACCCUAUUGGACACUCGCCAAGAGCUUAGUUGCACUUGGCCUAAAAUUCCAGUGCGGCAGCCACCAACGGCUCCCUCUCUCUUAAUUCUCUCGACCAGCGAUGAUUUGUGGGGGUGAAAGGUGGAACAAAAACCCUCGAGAGUCCACUAUAUGGCCUUCGG